GGAGGAGUAUGGUUGCAAAGCUGAAACUUAAAGGAAUUGACGGAAGGGCACCACCAGGAGUGGAGCCUGGGACUUAAUUUGACGCAACAUGGGAAACCUCACCUGGCCCGGACACGGAAAGGAUUGACAGAUCGAUAGCGCUUUCUUGAUUCUGUGGGUAGUGGUGCAUGGCCCUUUUUAGUUGGUGGAGCGAUUUGUCUGGUUAAUUCUGAUAACGAACGAGACUCUGGCAUGCUAAUUAGGUAUGCGACCCCAAGCAGUCGGCGUCCUACUUCUUAGAGGGACAAGUGGCAUUCAGCCAUCUGAGAUUGAGCAAUAACAGGUCUGUGAUGCCCUUAGAUAUCUGGGGCUGCAUGCGCGCUACACUGACUGGCUCAGUGUGUGUCUACCCUAUGCCAACAACUGCGGGUAACCCGUUGAACCCCAUUUGUAAUGGGGACUAGGGAUUGCAAUUAUUCCCCAUGAAUGAGGAAUUCCCAGUAAGUGUGGGUCAUAAGCAUGUGUUGAUUAAGUCCCUGCCCUUUUCACACACCGCCCGUCACUACUACUGAUUGGAUGGUUUAGUGAGGUCCUCGGAUCGGCUCUGCCAGGGUCAAUCGCAGCCCUGGUGGAGUGCUGAGAAGACGGUUGAACUUGACUAUCUAGAGGAAUUAAAAGUUGCAAUAAUUUUUCCGUAUAUGAACCUGCGGAAG
rnacentral:ncRNA from 1 species